AUAGACAUGCAGUCGAGCGAGAUUUUCGUUGUAGCAUACGAUGGAAAGUCUAGCGGCGAACGGGUGCUUACACGUGGGCAACCUGCCGUGAAGUGGGGAUAGCUCGCCGAAAGGCGAAUUAAUACCGAUGUGAUUAGAGAGGACAUCCUUUCGAAAUUAAAGUCGGGGCAACCUGACGCUUCUUGUGGGGCCCGCGGCCUAUCAGCUAUUGGUGAGGUAAUGGUCACCAAGGCUUUGACGGGUAGCUGGUCUGAAGGACGACCACCACACUGGGACUGAGACCACGGCCAGACACCUACGGGUGGCAGCAGUCGAGAAUUUUUGACAAUGGGGGAAACCCUGAUCGAGCGACGCCGCGUGGAGGAUGAAGGUCUUCGGAUUGUAACUCCUGUCAUUGGGGAACAAGGUGCAUACGUUACUUGGUGUGUAUUGAUAGUACCCGAAGAGGAAGGGACGGCUAACUCUGUGCCA
rnacentral:rRNA from 1 species